rnacentral:lncRNA from 1 species
UGUGUUCAAGGUUUUCACCAUUCGUAGAGCAUAGAGCGCAAAUCGGCGGACCGUGCCAGCCCUUUUUAGUUAAGGUAUCAUCUGUCAAUACUCUAUUUCUCGCCGCAAGCCACAUGAAGAUUUUAACUCGCAGGGGGAUCUUGAUCUUCCAAAUAAAAGAAAUUCUGCAAGCAUCUAGGCCAUCAAAGCUAAGAAAAAAAAUUCUGAAAGCAUCUAUGCCAUCAAAGCUAAGAAAAUAAAAGAAAUUCUGAAAGCUCCAACCCUAUUUAGAAUGGUAUAUAUACAAAUUUUGGAUUUUUUUUUUCCCCCUUUUUAAUUAUAGAUAGCGUAGGGUGUAUAUACCUGCUACUAUCCUUCUAAGACAACACAGUUCUUUAUCCUAUUAAGUUGUUUCUUUCCAAUGGUGAUAGGACAUUUGGAUCAACAAUCUGCACUGAUAAAUAUGAUUUUGGGCAUUGUAAGUGAACCAAAUUUUCUGAUUUUUAAAGAUUAUUUUAUGGUUCACAACAUUCUGAAAAUGAAUUAUGGGAUUCAUCAAUUUAAGAUCAAAGGUAUGCACCUUGAUCUAUAUAGUUUAAAUUAUUUUCAAACAAAAAUUCAAGCAAUGUAGACUCAAGUUGUCGAUUUUGAGAUGCUUCAAUCAGUACAUGAUGUCAGGAAAUAAUUGAAUUUUAGUUCCCAGAGAGAGUUUACUUUGAACGAAAUCCCAAUUCAAUAAACUGAAAUAACCCCAACAAAAUAAAUAAAGUUUAGAAGGUGUCUAUUGAAAAGGAACAAUGAAAUUGAGGGUCCUAUUUUACAUGGCCUGUAGUUGCGGUGACUCCAUGCAUGUUUACCUAAAAUUAGCACAAAAUAGAGAUCUUAAGAGACCAAACAUUACAUCCAGAUGGACUGCAAAUUAAGUAAACAGUAAACGCUUCAAGGAAAAUUUUAUUAUGACCAGCAAAACUUUUUCAUGCAAAUUUUUUCUUUUCCUUUUUCAACAUUAAUCGAAACAUAAUUUACUUGUACCAUUUUCUUUUUUUCUUUUUAGCUCAAGUGAGAAGUUUACAUGUGUACCCGAGAUAUAUAUAUAUAUAUAUAGCUCCCAACCUGUAAUAAGAGAUUAAAGAAAGGAUUAUGUUAGAGAGGGAACCGGCAGCCCACCAAAGCUCCCUCACUGACGGCCACGGGAAGCGGCCCGACGACACAUUUUCCGGCUAUGGUGAUGACGGCCCCUUCAAUGGUGGCGGGGGUGGCGGCGGAGGGGGGAGGUGCGCUCAAUUCAUCAGCUCGGGGACAGAGAUCGCUAAAUAUAGAGAAAAGAAGAGUUCAAAAAAGAAAAAAAACAAAUUGAGAGAGGGAGAG